rnacentral:lncRNA from 1 species
UGUGAUAUUCAGUAAAAAUGAAUUUCAUGAUAUUGAAUCAUAGAGUUAACUCGCGUGACAGACAUUUCUGAUGAAUCCUCCACUUAACAGAUUCCCAAUCCAAUGACUUGCGAACUGAUAUUGAAUCAUAGAGUUAACCCAUGGUACCAGUGACUGCUAUUUCGGUUACACAGAUAAAAAAUCUAAGCUCAACUAACCGUGCUUGUAUAAUGGAGUUUCGGACACUUAUCUCGAUUCAACAUGGAAAUCCGCAGGUUAUGUUUUAUCGAAUUACGUUAGAAUUGAGAAGUCGGCUGAAUUCCUUCACAAGUUACCACAACCCGUACAAACUCGACCAGAAUCUGAUUCAUGAAUGAUAUAUUACACUAUCGGAGUCUGAACGUUCAUCUGGUAUUCUGAAAUGAUACUUCAAUAUCAGAUGUGCACCAUAAAAUGCUUUGAAGUAGAAAACGUAAAUUUGAGGAUGUGCGCCAUAAAGCAGG